GAAGCAAAGAAGAAAGGAACACGUAUUUUGCUUCGAAAGGGUUUAUUAGUGACUGAUUUACACAUGAGUGGCAGAGUGAAGCUGAAGUAACUGACGAAGAAAACGCAGCUCAAGCUGUUGUGAGCGAGAUCGGGAACACAACUCCUCCGGAGCCUGAAGUCGGGUGUGAAAGUCAAAAACGUUACUAGUAUGCAAUAUAUGAGGAAAAAUAAAACAGUGAAAAAGGACACCUCCCAGCAGCUUUGGUACAUGGAACUCUAUUUUCCUUCUGCUCAGUGAAACUGACUUUCAAAGAUGCAAUUUUUAUCAUCCCUGGUUGUGAGGGGUUCAGCAUCGAUCAAUGACCGUCCGUUACAAUCACUUAGGCCACAUUUAAGAAUUGGCUGCAAACACUGAUUUUGUAGAAAAUGAUUUGAGAAAGAUCCAGAGGAAACAUAAGUGAUGUUAGGAUAGUGAGACAGUCACCAAGUCCCUUUAGAAGAUUUCUUUGGAGGCCAUUACCCAGGCAGCAUGACUGAAUAAACGGUUUGUUUUAGUGA